rnacentral:tRNA from 1 species
GGAAGGGUCGCAUAGUGGCCGAGUGCGCACGGCUGGAAACCGUGUGGGGGCGUAAGCCCCUCGUGGGUUCGAAUCCCACCCCUUCCGCCA